CACCGGCGCCUGAUCACGCCGCGGUUUGAUGAAGGCUCGUCCCCCGCCGACAUCAAACAUGGACAAAGGCCUAAUCCCCCCUCUCCGGGCCUUUGUUCUGCUAUUGCAAGCCGUCAUGGCCCGCCCCCAGGCCAUGGCGGCCUUGC
rnacentral:sRNA from 1 species